ensembl:lncRNA
AUGGGCAGAGGUAAUGGCCUGGAGACGCAGCCUGGUAACAGCUAUUUCUCUAGAGUCUGUGUGAUCCACUUCCUGGUAAACCUUAGUCGAGGUUUAAGUGGGAAUGUCACCACAGCUCCAAAGUCACCUAAGGGUAAACUGGGUCCCUUGAGACUGGUGUCCCCUGUGGCUUCCAGGACUCACCUCGGACUUCCCAGGUGCAGAAGCAUCAGAAACGGUGGUGGACACAGCCGGGGGCUUGACCAGCCUGUGCCAGCAGCUCGGCUGUCCCCGCGUGCUUUGCAAAUGUCACAGCGAGGCUUUAAAAAUUCGGGCUUCCGGGCUCAAGUUCAUCCUCUCCCUCCACCUGCCACCGUGACACGGGUGGCUGUUCAGGAGUUCAGUGCACACAGGUUACAAGGAGGAGGGCAGAGGGCCCAUGGGGCAGAGAGCCCCUCGCUUCCUGUCUCCAGGCAGCAGCUAGACUCACCAAAAAUAAAAAAAAGCCCCAAGGAUGCUGGAAAUGAUCACAUCGGUGUUAGAAAUGCCAUUUGUUCACUGAUCUGAUAUUCAACAAAUGUUUCCUGAGUUGCUUCUUUGUGUCAUUAGAGGUGAUGCUUUUAAUUGUUUUACCUCAACAUUAAAUUCCCUGAAUUGAACUAUACCCAGGAAUCUAGGGGACUCUGGCUGGUGGGACACUUAAGAUUUCUGAAGUUUUAUUCCAGUUUUAUUCAGACUUCUGAAGUUUUACUCAAGUGUUAUCCUGAAUUAGGCAGACACUUUCAGAUUCAUAGUGAAAGUGAAAGUGAAGUCGCUCAGCCGUGUCCGAUUCUCUGCGACCCCGUGGACUGUAGCCCACCAGGCUCCUCUGUCCAUGGGANNNNNNNNNNNNNNNNNNNNNNNNNNNNNNNNNNNNNNNNNNNNNNNNNNNNNNNNNNNNNNNNNNNNNNNNNNNNNNNNNNCCGCAUUGCAGGCAGACGCUUUAACCUCUGAGCCACCAGGGAAGCCUUAAUUUAAAUAUUCGUCAUCUACUGUGUAUAAAUCUUUAAAAAAGCAAAUCAUAUUUAAAACGCACAAAAGAAAGUUACUUUUCCCUUUCCUUUUUAGGUGGCAUGUUCCACAGGUGGUGUGAGCUCAGCCUCCUCAGUCUUUCUUUCCUUUUUUUUCUUUGUGUGGUCACUUUGAUAACCACUGGAGUCACUGCCGUGGAAAACAGGCUCUGGGUCCUGAUCUUCCUGGUGCUUUUUCUUCUUUUUCUUCUUUUUCUUUGGCUCUUCCUCCCAGAGGCCAUUAAGCACUGACUAAACUGGAGAGGAUAGAGGGGUGAUGAGGGAGAAGAUGAGGAAAGGAGAGGAAGGAUCAUUACAUCUGUUAAAAGAUCAAAUUUUUUUACAGAAGGACUUCCCUGGAGGUCUGGUGGCUCAGACUGUGCGCCCCCAAUGCAGGGGCUCGGGUUCCAUCCCUGGUCAGGGAAGUAUACCCUGCCUGCUGCAACUGAGAGUCUGCAUGCUGCAACCAAGACCCAGAACAGCUAAACGAAUGAAUCCAUAAUUAUUUCUUUAGAAGUCACAGAGGCCGCCUGACAGAAAAGUGAACACUGAAUUGUCAAUCAGGAGACACUGCAUCUGUUCCUGGCCGUCACCAGACCUCCAAGCCGGGGCCUCAGGUUACUCAUCUGCAAAAUGAGACGACCAGAAGAAAUGUGUUCUUAAUGGGCUCACAUGAAUCUAGAGGGCUUCCCUGGGGGCUCAGCUGGUAAAGAAUCCGCCUGCAAUACUGGAGACCCUGGUUCGAUU